ensembl:lncRNA
GGAGACUGCUUUCUCAGUAAGGCUUGGAAACUGUUUUUCCUUCGGCUCUGAGGUGGAGAGAGCUGAAGAGCAGUGAGUGGAAGACCUCACCUAGCUGCCAGGCAUCAGUGAGAAGGGAGUUUGAAAAUUAAGGGAGUUGAGGGAGGGAGAGCUGUCAAUCUCAUCCCAACCUGCUCCAGCCAGCUGGGAUAAAGCCAAGGUUAUGGUGGAAGUGUCAACAAAAACCCAGCAGACUAUGUCCAACUCUAUGAAGGGAUUCCAUUGAAAAUCACCAGCCAUGGCGAAAAAAUUGAUUCCCUCCCAAACCACAGGCUUUUUCUUCUCCUUCAAGCUUGAAUCCACCCUGAAACUCUCGGUUUCUGCAAUGUUGAGAAGAUGCCAAAUCUACUUGCCAACCCUCGUCUUAUUCUGUGUGGGAGGUCUGCACCUAAGAUUUCUGACUACAAUAGCAACAGUGUUCACAAUGUACUACGUCUUUAACCUUCAGUAUCCAGAGGAGGCAUGUGGCACAUUGGAAUUCAUUCAAAGACGAUUCAUCUGGAUAAACCCUGAAAAAGGCACGAAGCCAGGCAGAGGCAAGGUUGAUUUGAAGAAUACUGGAAAGACUGUGAAUAACAAGUCUGCUACUGUCAUCCCCAAAGUUGUGUCCCUCCUAAAGAACCUCAUCGAUUUCAAAUGGGAUUUUGUCUAGACCCGAAUGUCCUCUCAGGCCAGAGCCAUCAGAAGCUGGAGUGAGAUGUUUUUGCCUCUUCAUAAGGUUUUUUUAAGCUAUUGGUUUGGUUAAUGUGUUCCUCUCAGACUUGCACCCAUGCCAGAAUCAGGGGUGUUUUUUUUUUUUUUUUUUUUUCUUUUUUUCUUCUUCCUGUUUUCCUCUUUGACAGGCACAGUCUAAUAGAUUACCACCUAGAAUCAAUAUGAUACUCUUAGCAAAACAAAAUAGUGAUCAUAAACAUGCUAAGGCUGUGUAGUCGUAAAAGUUUUUAAUAUAUGCCGACUCGUGCAUAUGAUCCGCUUCGUGCGAUCACAUCUCUG